rnacentral:tRNA from 1 species
AAUAAUGUGCCUGAUUAAAGGGUUAUCUUGAUAGGAUAAAUCAAGUAAAAUUAAUUACCAUUAUUA